rnacentral:tRNA from 2 species
GGCCCAGUAGCUCAACGGACAGAGCAGACGGUUUCUAACCGUAAGGUUGAAGGUUCGAUUCCUUCCUGGGUCACCG